UACGUACGAGGCAAGCGUUAUCCGGAAUUACUGGGCGUAAAGCGCGCGCAGGUGGCGAAGUAAGUGAGACGUGAAAUCUCCCGGCUUAACUGGGAGGGUGCGCUACAAACUGUCUGACUAGAGUGUGGGAUGGGUAAGUGGAAUUCCUGGUGUAGCGGUGAAAUGCGUAGAUAUCAGGAGGAACACCGGUGGUGUAGACGGCUUACUGGACCAUAACUGACGCUGAGACACGAAAGCGUGGGUAGCAAACAGG
rnacentral:rRNA from 1 species